UUAACACAUGCAAGUCGAACGAAGCACAUGAAACGGACAUCUUCGGAAGGAAGUAUUAUGUGACUGAGUGGCGGACGGGUGAGUAACGCGUGGGUAACCUGCCGUAUACAGGGGGAUAACAGUUAGAAAUGACUGCUAAUACCGCAUAAGCGCACAGAGUCGCAUGACUCGGUGUGAAAAACUCCGGUGGUAUACGAUGGACCCGCGUCUGAUUAGGUAGUUGGCGGGGUAACGGCCCACCAAGCCCGCGAUCAGUAGCCGACCUGAGAGGGUGACCGGCCACAUUGGGACUGAGACACGGCCCAAACUCCUACGGGAGGCAGCAGUGGGGAAUAUUGCACAAUGGGGGAAACCCUGAUGCAGCGACGCCGCGUGANCNNANNAAGUAUUUCGGUAUGUAAAGCUCUAUCAGCAGGGAAGAAAAUGACGGUACCUGACUAAGAAGCUCCGGCUAACUACGUGCCAGCAGCCGCGGUAAUACGUANGGGGCAAGCGUUAUCCGGAUUUACUGGGUGUAAAGGGNAGCGUAGACGGCAUAGUAAGUCUGAUGUGAAAGGCGGGGGCUCA
rnacentral:rRNA from 1 species